rnacentral:rRNA from 1 species
AGUGAACGCUGGCGGUAGGCCUAACACAUGCAAGUCGAACGGCAGCACAGUAAGAUCUUGCUCUUACGGGUGGCGAGUGGCGGACGGGUGAGGCAUACAUCGGAUUCUACUUUUUCUUGGGUGAUAACGUAGGGAAACUUACGCUAAUACCGCAUACGUCCUACGGGUUAAAUCAGUGGAUCUUCGGACCUUUCCCGAUUGAUUGAGCCGAUGUCGGAUUAGCUAGUUGGCGUGGUAAAGUCCCACCAAGGCGACGAUCCGUAGCUGGUCUGAGAGGAUGAUCAGCCACACUGGAACUGAGACACGGUCCAGACUCCUACGGGAGGCAGCAGUGGGGAAUAUUGGACAAUGGGCGCAAGCCUGAUCGAGCCAUGCCGCGUGGGUGAAGAAGGUCUUCGGGUUGUAAAGCCCUUUUGUUGGGAAAGAAAAGCAGCAGGAGAAUACCCGGAUGUUCUGACGGUACCCAAAGAAUAAGCAACGGCUAACUUCGUG